GGGCAUUUGGUCUAGUGGUAUGAUUCUCGCUUCGGGAGUGAGAGGUCCCGAGUUCAAUUCUCGGAAUGCCCC
rfam:Brassica napus, WGS project CCCW01000000 data, contig: 2201